rnacentral:tRNA from 1 species
GCAUUGGUGGUUCAAUUGUAGAAUUCUUGCCUGCCAUGCGGGAGGCUUGGGUUCGAUUCCUGGCCAAUGCA